AUCCCCAAUGAGGUACAUCCCUCCCAAACCUUCUGCAGUAAUCUGAGAUCCAAUUCUAGCUGAAACUAUGCAUAGAAUGAGCUCUCCCCACUUUCCUCACCAAGGCAACUUUAUGAGUUGACAACAUUCUUGCAAGAGCAGGUGGCUAACAGGCCUUCCUGACCUCUACCAUCCUCUAGUAAACCAUUUAAGCUCACGUCUACUGCUUCGGUGACUCCAUCCAACCACCUCAUUCUCUGUCGUCUCAUUUUCUGUCACCAUUGGGAAAUGCAGUAUGGUCAUAAAUGGUUUACUAUGCACUUCAGACUGAUUAGAAAAUUUCUAAUAUCCAGGAGAAUAUUAGGAAUUGCACCAGGGAAAUAUUGGCCAAGUUGCAUGGUAUCAGCAGGCCUACGAUCAGCCACCCAGCAGUGAGAAUAAAAGAGAAAGACAGAAGACCAAAAAGAAUAUUGAUGAAAGAUUGACAUCUGCUGUAUCACUGUUGGAUGUUUCUGAAGUAAGAGUGCCAUGAAAUGGAUACGGAUUGGACAAAAUGUGGUAA